GAUGAACGCUGGCGGCGUGCCUAAUACAUGCGAGUCGAGCGAACGGACGAGAAGCUUGCUUCUCUGAUGUUAGCGGCGGACGGGUGAGUAACACGUGGAUAACCUACCUAUAAGACUGGGAUAACUUCGGGAAACCGGAGCUAAUACCAGAUAAUAUUUUGAACCGCAUGGUUCAAAAGUGAAAGACGGUCUUGCUGUCACUUAUAGAUGGAUCCGCGCUGCAUUAGCUAGUUGGUAAGGUAACGGCUUACCAAGGCAACGAUGCAUAGCCGACCUGAGAGGGUGAUCGGCCACACUGGAACUGAGACACGGUCCAGACUCCUACGGGAGGCAGCAGUAGGGAAUCUUCCGCAAUGGGCGAAAGCCUGACGGAGCAACGCCGCGUGAGUGAUGAAGGUCUUCGGAUCGUAAAACUCUGUUAUUAGGGAAGAACAUAUGUGUAAGUAACUGUGCACAUCUUGACGGUACCUAAUCAGAAAGCCACGGCUAACUACGUG
rnacentral:rRNA from 1 species